AUUGAACGCUGGCGGCAGGCCUAACACAUGCAAGUCGAACGAGUGGCGGACGGGUGAGUAAUUUCUGGGAAACUGCCUGAUGGAGGGGGAUAACUACUGGCACAGGUAGCUAAUACCGCAUACCAUCGGAUGGUGCCAGAUGGGAUUAUCUAGUAGGUGGGGUAACGGCUCACCUAGGCGACGAUCCCUAGCUGGUCUGAGAGGAUGACCAGCCACACUGGAACUGAGACACGGUCCAGAGUCCGACGGGAGGCAGCAGUGGGGAAUAUUGCACAAGGGGCGCAAGCCUGAUGCAGCCAUGCCGCGUGUAUGAAGAAGGCCUUCGGGUUGUAAAGGACUUUCAGCGGGGAGGCGUUACCCGCAGAAGAAGCACCGGCUAACUCCGUGCCAGCAGCCGCGGUAAUAC
rnacentral:rRNA from 1 species